UGUGGCUCAGUGAUAGAGUGCUUGCCUGACAUGUAUGAGACCUUGGGUUCAAUCCCCAGCA
rnacentral:tRNA from 1 species